GGUUUUAUAGUCAAUGUUUAUGACGUCGAAUUGCAAGUUCGAAGUAGUAUUAGUAUAUUAAGACCU
rnacentral:tRNA from 1 species